GACGUAGGGUGCGAGCGUUGUCCGGAUUUAUUGGGCGUAAAGAGCUCGUAGGCGGCUCGUCGCGUCGACCGUGAAAACCCGCGGCUUAACUGCGGGCUUGCGGUUGAUACGGGCGGGCUAGAGUUCGGUAGGGGAGACUGGAAUUCCUGGUGUAGCGGUGAAAUGCGCAGAUAUCAGGAGGAACACCGGUGGCGAAGGCGGCUCACUGGCCCGGUACUGACGCUGAGGUGCGAAAGCGUGGGGAGCAAACAGG
rnacentral:rRNA from 1 species